rnacentral:misc_RNA from 1 species
GUAGGUGAACCUGCGGAAGGAUCAUUACCAAUAUGAAAGCGGGUGGGGAACCACGGGAAUGCUUGCGUUCUUGCCCCAUCUUGCUGAAUAUUCACCCAUGUCUUUUGCGUACUAUUUGUUUCCUUGGUGGGCUUGCCCACCGAUAGGACAAUAUUAAACCUUUUGUAAUUGCAAUCAGCGUCAGAAAAACUUAAUAGUUACAACUUUUAACAACGGAUCUCUUGGUUCUG